UACAGAGGUCUCAAGCGUUGUUCGGAUUCAUUGGGCGUAAAGGGCGCGUAGGCGGGAUGGCAAGUCGGUCGUGAAAUCCCUCGGCUCAACUGAGGAUCGUCGAUCGAUACUGCCGUUCUUGAGGAUUGCAGAGGAGACUGGAAUUCCCGGUGUAGCGGUGAAAUGUGUAGAGAUCGGGAGGAACACCGGUGGCGAAGGCGGGUCUCUGGGCAAUUCCUGACGCUGAGGCGCGAAGGUCAGGGGAGCAAACGGG
rnacentral:rRNA from 1 species